CUUGGACCUUAUCUUCCUUACUGCUGAUUAAGGUCACGAUUAAGUGAGGUGAAGUUCUGGAUUGUGAAGUGAACCCAGCAGAGAGGAUCAGUAGGCUGUGAGCUGUCCUGUUUCUGUGGAUUUAGAAUUGGGUGCUGUGGUGUUCUUGAUCCAACAUCAACAGGGGCUGUGAGCUUGAGGUUGAGGCCGUCAGGAGAGAUCCCAGUCGCUAGCCCC